AUGACGGCCCUCACCAGGCCGCAGGAACAAGAGGAGAGGCAAAACAACACGCAGAAUCCCAGCUGUGAAAACACCAAUGAGGACGCACACCACCCCCAGAGCCUUCCUAGAGCCGUGGGGGAAGGCACGCUGCAGCUUCCAACCUAUGUACUUCUCAAGGUCAGGACAUCUGCGGUUCUACAAAGGAGGAUGAAUAGCCUAGUCCAGGCAGCAAGAGAUGUGGUUGCCUCUUGCUCAGUGCUUAGAUUAGAAGGAGAACGGAUACUUGCAAUCGCUCACUUCUCCAUCCCACUGAUGACUAGAGGUAGAGACACAGGCAGGUGCUGAAGAGAGAAGCUGGAAAACCACAGACUUUUCUUAAAGAUGGAGGAAAUAGCACGGUUAAAGGUGAGUGGAUGUUAGCCACAGAAAGCAAAUGCUGACAUGGUGGGGGAGAGAGGGGGUCUGGGGUGUGAUUCCUGGCAUGGUGGAGGCUGGAGUGUGAGGGUGGACGUGCCUUGGAUGAAUGUUGCAGAGUCCAACCCUAAGGCAGAAGGGAAACAGAACAUGUGGGAUAGAAGUGAGCAGUGAGAGGAAGGCAGUGUGGGGGUGUGGAGUGGGCAAAGCUGGCUCACAAAGCCUGGGUCACAGCUGACUGGACAGUGAGUUACUUUGAAAAAGAAUGGACAAAUUAAUGAGGUCUCUUUUAUUCUCCCAGUUGUAGAGAGAAUUCAUCUUCUCCUUCAUAUUUGGGCUGCACCUAGUCUUAAGGUCUGAUCACACAUGUUGCACAUACUUUCAUCCCACCAUCAGGAAGAGUCUCACCUCUCCUGGACUCAGCUCCUUGCUCGGCUCUGCCCUUGGUGACUCCCAUAUCCUUACUGGCCACAGCUGCCUGCCUGUGUUCUUCCCAUUUUUUUUUUUUCUUUAAUAUCUGCCACCUCUAACAUCUCCAACCUCAGUCCCAAGAGUUUGCUCUGUGUUAGUUUGCUCAAGUUUCCAUACAAAAGGCCACAGGCUAGGUGGCUAAAAACAAAAGUAUAUACUUUCACAGUCCUUAAGUCCAGGUGUCAGCAGGGUCACGCUCUUUACGAAGGCUCUAGAAGAGCCCCUUACAGCUUCUGGUGGCUCCAGGUGUUCCUUGGCUUGUGGCAGCAUCCCUCCAAUCUCUGCCUCUGUUUCACCUGGCUGUCUCCUUGUGUUUUCUCCCCUCUGUCUCUUGUAAGGGCACUUGGCAUUGGAUUUAGGGCACUUCCCCUGAGGGAAUUAAGAUCAUCUCUUCAAGAUCCUUAACUUAAUUACAUCUGUGAAGGCCCUUUCUCAAAAUACUGUCACAUUCAUCUGUCCCAUGAGUUAGGAUAUAUCUUUUUGGGGGGAGUCAUCAACAGGAUGCAGUGUACUUGGAUGGAGAUUCUCUUAGAUGUCUCUGCAGUGCACACCAAAGACCUGGCCUAGGACAAACUACUGCACCCCUGCCUUGCUAUAAUUGUUACCAUGCUCACUUCUCUCUCUCCAUAAUCUUUUCCUUCAGAUGCCUGGCAACUGUUAGACUAACACACCUGCUAUCUUACUCAAUAUUCAAAUGAAUAAAACAUCCCGUCUUUCUUUGCAGCAUGUUGAACAUUGAAUUCCUAAAUCCUCUUUCCACCAAGGAAGCUUGGCUACAUGCAUAGUGGGGGCCCUGACCCAUGAUGGCAUCAUUUUUCUGACCCUACUUAAGAGACACUGUGUGAUCAGCUGAAUUAAAGUCUUACUAUUCCCCUUCCCUAGUUUUGUGGGAUCUCUGCCACACAGCCCUAGAUAUUGGUUCCAGCCCCUUGCCCAGUCUCUGGCCUCCUCCCUCUCUUUCUACUUUACACCUUCUGCUACUGUGUGGCUAGAAUUACCCCUUGGAAAGAGGAAAAUGAAUCAUUCUCUAUUUUCACAAAACCUCCACUGACUGUCAUUAUUGGAGUACAUCAAAUCUUCUAGAGACCUACAAAGGUCAUUGUCUGCCUAGCUCCAAAGUCCUUGCUGUGGUCUGUGUCAUUUUAAAUUCAUAUCUUUAAAUCUUCACUUCCAAGGUUUCGAUUAAGAGGUAAUUAGGUUAUGAAUGGAGAACCUCACAAAUGUGAUUAGCCCUGAUCAAAGGGACCGACCGGGAGAGCUCUUUCCUUUCACCACUGAGGGGGCAUAGAAGGUCCCAACUAUGGACCAGGAAGUGAUUCUUCACCAGACACCAAGUCUAGUGGGACCUUGAUCUUGGACUUCUAUCUUCUAGAACUACAGGAAAUGAAUUUCUGUUUAUGAGCUACUCAUUGCAUGUUAUUUUGUUACAGGAGCCCAAUCAAACUGACAAUCCUCUACAUCCACAUCUCCCAGGCCAUUCUUGUUUCUCCAUAAAGUGGGACAUCUCCAGAAGCCCUUGCCCUGACUUUGCUCUUCCCAAGCUUUAGGAUUUCAUUCUCUCCCCACAAUCACUUGGGAAAUGGAAUUUCUUCAAGAAAGUUUAAAUGUCACCACUUCUGUGAAGUCCUCCCCAAUUCCCCAGAAAAAGUGACCACACCUGUACCUAUGAGAAGGUGGACCUGUUGCCCACCCACUGGACAGACCAGAUGUUAUUUAUCUGCUUAUGAGAGGCCUGACAUUAGACAUGAGUGCCCUGAGGCAAGCCCUGUCUCCUUCCUGCACUUCUGACUGGAGGAUGCACCUGGCACACAGUAGGUUUGUUAGUGCAAAACCUCACUAGUGAUCCUAUAGAGCAUGGAGGAGAGCAUUGUGCUCGAUUCUAAAAAUUGAUUUUCUCAUGCUUUGAUUAAAACAAAAAGUGAUUCUGUUGUAUAGGAAACUAGAAGGUAGACUUUUUAGAGAUGGAGAAGGGGGUCAAAAGAAGGGGAGGGGAGAAUAAGUAGGAGGCAUGGGGUUGAAAAUAUGUUACACAGUUGUACAAAUAUACCAAAAUAGUGUAUUGUUCUGUAUUAUUAAUAUGCACUAAUAAAAUGAUUCUUUUUUAAUAGGAGCAAAUCAUAAUGAAUAUACACUCUCUGAAUAUUCAGGUCAAAUUCUAGCUAACAUCAAGAUUUUCAAAAAGUUUAGAAAUGCUGAGAAUUAACUCUUAAGGGGGUUUCUUAAUGUCCUGCACGGUUCUUCUAAAUAGCACCUG
rnacentral:lncRNA from 1 species